UCCCUGGUAGUCCAGUGAUUAAGAUGUCACCUUCCAAUGCUGGGGGUGCAGGUUCCAUUCCUGGUCAGGGAA
rnacentral:tRNA from 1 species